GACGAACGCUGGCGGCGUGCUUAACACAUGCAAGUCGAACGAAGAGCGAUGGAAGCUUGCUUCUCUCAAUCUUAGUGGCGAACGGGUGAGUAACGCGUAAUCAACCUUCCCUUCAGAGGGGGACAACAGUUGGAAACGACUGCUAAUACCGCAUACGAUCUAAUCUCGGCAUCGAGGAUAGAUGAAAGGUGGCCUCUACAUGUAAGCUCUCACUGAAGGAGGGGAUUGCGUCUGAUUAGCUAGUUGGAGGGGUAACGGCCCACCAAGGCGAUGAUCAGUAGCCGGUCUGAGAGGAUGAACGGCCACAUUGGGACUGAGACACGGCCCAGACUCCUACGGGAGGCAGCAGUGGGGAAUCUUCCGCAAUGGACGAAAGUCUGACGGAGCAACGCCGCGUGAGUGAUGACGGCCUUCGGGUUGUAAAGCUCUGUUAAUCGGGACGAAAGGCCUUCUUGCGAACAGUUAGAAGGAUUGACGGUACCGGAAUAGAAAGCCACGGCUAACUACGUG
rnacentral:rRNA from 1 species